AAUUCUGCAUUCUGACCUGCAACCUUGGAAAGAGUGCUGGUACUACAACCAGGAAGUGACAGAUAAUGUGCUUUAAACUACAUUAGAAAAGCUUCUCAUAGCAAAACUGAGAGAUUGAAGCAGUGAUUAUUUUUACAUAGUUGUCAUUAAAUAUUUGGAGCUCUGCUGUGCAUAGAGAUGGCAACAUACUUAGAAUACACAGCUUUCUGGGCCAGAAAUUGAUCUUCUGACUUUUGAGCCUUAUCUGAUUACUGCUUGGUUCAUCUUUAUUUUGUUAAACUACUCUGUAGGCUGAAAGGGAGAGACUCUCCUUGGUUUGCAGGGAUUAGGCAAAGAGGAGUCCCAAAAUGAGAAACAGACCAAAAAGAGUCUCUUACCAACUUUGGAAAAGAAGUUAACUAGAGUGCCAUCAAAGUCACUGGACUUGAAUAAAAAUGAAUAUCUUUCUCUGGACAAAAGCAGCACUUCAGAUUCUGUUGAUGAAGAAAAUGUUCCUGAGAAAGAUCUUCAUGGAAGACUUUUUAUCAACCGUAUUUUUCAUAUCAGUGCUGACAGAAUGUUUGAAUU
rnacentral:lncRNA from 1 species